rnacentral:rRNA from 1 species
AGCGAACGUUUGCGGCGGGCUUAACACAUGCAAGUCGAACGAGAAUCCCUUCGGGGAGGAAAGUGGCGCACGGGUGCGUAACACGUGGAUAACCAACCCAUUGGUUUGGGACAACACCGGGAAACUGGUGCUAAUACCAGAUGUGUCGCAGCUGUCUUCAGGCGGUUGCGAGAAAGGCCCGCAAGGGUCGCCAACGGACGGGUCCGCGUCCCAUCAGCUAGUUGGUGAGGUAAUGGCUCACCAAGGCAAAGACGGGUAGCUGGUCUGAGAGGAUGAUCAGCCACACUGGAACUGAGACACGGUCCAGACUCCUACGGGAGGCAGCAGUGGGGAAUAUCGCGCAAUGGGCGAAAGCCUGACGCAGCCACGCCGCGUGAGCGAUGAAGGUCUUCGGAUCGUAAAGCUCUGUGGGGGGAGAAGAAGAAAGCCGGUGAAGAGCCGGCCCUGACGGUAUCCCCUUAGCAAGCACCGGCUAACUCCGUGCCAGCAGCCGCGGUAAAGU